rnacentral:rRNA from 1 species
GAUGAACGCUGGCGGCGUGCUUAACACAUGCAAGUCGAACGGUAAGGCCCAGCUUUCGUGGUGUGCUCGAGUCGAGAACGUGUGUAUCACACGUGUGUCACCUGCCUUUGACUUUGGUAUACCUUCAGGACUCUGGGGCUUAUACCGGAUAGGCGCUCCUGCCGCGUGGUGGGUGGUGGAAAGUUUCGGCGGUUGGGGAUGGUCUCGCGGCUUAUCAGCUUGUUGGUGGGGUAGUGGCUUACCAAGGCUUUGACGGGUAGCCGGCCUGAGAGGGUGACCGGCCACAUUGGGACUGAGAUACGGCCCAGACUCCUACGGGAGGCAGCAGUGGGGAAUAUUGCACAAUGGGCGGAAGCCUGAUGCAGCGACGCCGCGUGCGGGAUGACGGCCUUCGGGUUGUAAACCGCUUUCGGUUGUGACGAAGCGAGAGUGACGGUAAUGGGUAAAGAAGCACCGGCUAACUACGUG